GAUGAAGAACGUAGCGAAAUGCGAUACGUAAUGUGAAUUGCAGAAUUCAGUGAAUCAUCGAAUCUUUGAACGCAUAUUGCGCUCUCUGGUAUUCCUGAGAGCAUGCUUGUUUGAGUAUCAGUAAACACCUCAACUCCCUUUUCUUUUUUGAAAUUGGAGCUUGACUUGAGUGAUCCCAACGCUUUCUUCCAAGAAAGUGGCGGGUUGCUUGAAAUGCAGGUGCAGCUGAACUUUUCUCUGAGCUAUAAGCAUAUCUAUUUAGUCUGCCUAAAAAACAGAUUAUUACCUUUGCUGCAGCUAACACAAAGGAGACUAGUUCUUGUGCUGACUGAUGCAGGAUUCACAGAGACAGCUUCGGCUGACUUUGUAAACUCGAUCUCAAAUCAAGUAAGACUACCCGCUGAACUUAAGCAUAUCAAUAAGCGGAGGA
rnacentral:misc_RNA from 1 species